ACUCCUGCGGGAGGCAGCAGUGGGGAAUAUUGCACAAUGGGCGCAAGCCUGAUGCAGCCAUGCCGCGUGUAUGAAGAAGGCCUUCGGGUUGUAAAGUACUUUCAGCGGGGAGGAAGGCAAUACGGUUAAUAACCGUGUUGAUUGACGUUACCCGCAGAAGAAGCACCGGCUAACUCCGUGCCAGCAGCCGCGGUAAUACGGAGGGUGCAAGCGUUAAUCGGAAUUACUGGGCGUAAAGCGCACGCAGGCGGUCUGUCAAGUCGGAUGUGAAAUCCCCGGGCUCAACCUGGGAACUGCAUUCGAAACUGGCAGGCUUGAGUCUUGUAGAGGGGGGUAGAAUUCCAGGUGUAGCGGUGAAAUGCGUAGAGAUCUGGAGGAAUACCGGUGGCGAAGGCGGCCCCCUGGACAAAGACUGACGCUCAGGUGCGAAAGCGUGGGGAGCAAACAGGAUUAGAAACCCCAGUAGUCCCAU
rnacentral:rRNA from 1 species